rnacentral:rRNA from 1 species
UACGAAGGGGGCUAGCGUUGCUCGGAAUCACUGGGCGUAAAGGGUGCGUAGGCGGGUCUUUAAGUCAGGGGUGAAAGCCCGGGGCUCAACUCCGGAAUUGCCUUUAAGACUGCAUCGCUUGAAUCAUGGAGAGGUGAGUGGAAUUCCGAGUGUAGAGGUGAAAUUCGUAGAUAUUCGGAAGAACACCAGUGGCGAAGGCGACUCACUGGACAUGUAUUGACGCUGAGGUACGAAAGCGUGGGGAGCAAACAGG